rnacentral:rRNA from 1 species
GACGUAGGGCGCGAGCGUUGUCCGGAUUUAUGGGCGUAAAGAGCUCGUAGGCGGCUUGUUGCGUCAGCUGUGAAAACCCGCAGCUCAACUGUGGGCUUGCAGCUGAUACGGGCAGCUUGAGUUCGGCUGGAGGGAGCUGGAAUUCCUGGUGUAGCGGUGAAAUGCGCAGAUAUCAGGAGGAACACCGGUGGCGAAGGCGGGUCUCUGGGCCGAUACUGACGCUGAGGAGCGAAAGCGUGGGGGAGCGAACAGGGAUUAGACUACCCCU